AGAGUUUGAUCAUGGCUCAGAACGAACGCUGGCGGCGCGCCUAACACAUGCAAGUCGGACGCACUCAGCAAUGGGUGAGUGGCGGACGGGUGAGUAACACGUGGGAACCUGCCCUGGGGUCUGGGAUAGCUGCGGGAAACUGCAGGUAACACCGGAUGUGCCCUUAGGGGGAAAGUUUACGCCCUGGGAUGGGCCCGCGUCGGAUUAGGUAGUUGGUGGGGUAAUGGCCUACCAAGCCUUCGAUCCGUAACCGGUCUGAGAGGAUGAUCGGUCACACUGGGACUGAGACACGGCCCAGACUCCUACGGGAGGCAGCAGUGGGGAAUCUUGGACAAUGGGGGCAACCCUGAUCCAGCGACGCCGCGUGGGUGAUGAAGGCCUUCGGGUCGUAAAGCCCUUUUGCCGGGGAAGAUGAUGACGGUACCCGGAGAAGAAGCACCGGCUAACUCUGUGCCAGCAGCCGCGGUAAGACAGAGGGUGCUAGCGUUGUUCGGAAUUACUGGGCGUAAAGGGCGCGUAGGCGGCUCGUUUAGUCGGGUGUGAAAUCCCAAGGCUCAACCUUGGAACUGCAUUCGAUACUGGCGGGCUAGAGACCGGAAGAGGUGGGUGGAAUACCCAGUGUAGAGGUGAAAUUCGUAGAUAUUGGGUGGAACACCGGUGGCGAAGGCGGCUCACUGGUCCGGUUCUGACGCUGAGGCGCGAAAGCGUGGGGAGCAAACAGGAUUAGAUACCCUAGUAGUCC
rnacentral:rRNA from 1 species